rnacentral:rRNA from 1 species
GGCGAGUGAAGCGGUAACAGCUCAAAUUUGAAAGCUAGCUCUUUUAGGGUUCGCAUUGUAAUUUGUAGAAGAUGCUUCGGGUGUGGCCCCGGUCUAAGUUCCUUGGAACAGGACGUCAUAGAGGGUGAGAAUCCCGUAUGUGACUGGGUGCUUUCGCUCAUGUGAAGCUCUUUCGACGAGUCGAGUUGUUUGGGAAUGCAGCUCAAAAUGGGUGGUAAAUUUCAUCUAAAGCUAAAUAUUGGCCAGAGACCGAUAGCGCACAAGUAGAGUGAUCGAAAGAUGAAAAGCACUUUGGAAAGAGAGUUAAACAGUACGUGAAAUUGUUGAAAGGGAAGCGCUUGCAACCAGACUUGCGCGCUGAUGAUCAUCCGGGCUUCUGUCCGGUGCACUCGUCUGCGCUCAGGCCAGCAUCGGUUUCGGUGGUGGGAUAAAGGCCUUGGGAAUGUAGCUCCUCUCGGGGAGUGUUAUAGCCCUCGGUGCAAUGCCGCCUAUCGGGACCGAGGACCGCGCUUCGGCUAGGAUGCUGGCGUAAUGGUUGUAAGCGACCCGUCUUGAAACACGGACCAAGGAGUCUAACAUCUAUGCGAGUGUUUGGGUGUCAAACCCAUACGCGUAAUGAAAGUGAACGGAGGUGAGAACCCUUAAGGGUGCAUCAUCGACCGGUCCUGAUGUCUUCGGAUGGAUCUGAGUAAGAGCAUAGCUGUUGGGACCCGAAAGAUGGUGAACUAUGCGUGAAUAGGGUGAAGCCAGAGGAAACUCUGGUGGAGGCUCGCAGCGGUUCUGACGUGCAA